AUUCAUGUAGUUUAAAUACAAAACAUUACAUUUUCACUGUAAAAAUAAAGAUUCUUCUUUCAUAAAUA
rnacentral:tRNA from 1 species